UGCAACAACCAUAAAUUUUCAUCAAAAACUAUGAUUAAAAGAGACAUAAAACACAAAUGAAGAUAGUAAAUUAGUAUAGAAAGAUGAUUGGUGAAUACAUAUCUAUAGGUAUGUCACACUAUUUUGUGAUAUAAACAUAACAACUAAUUCUCAUACAAUUUCAAACAUAACUUACUAAUGUUGUAAUAGGUUGCAAAACAAAAUUAAAUAUGAAAGAUAUGAUGACUAAAUUUUAAUAUAUUAUAGAUAAAAUUAAAUAUUUAAGACAUUUGUAUCAUAGAUAAAGGUAAUAGGAGUUUUUUUUAUAUGUAACACAACAGAAUAGAAUAUGAAAGAUAUUAGGACUACAUGUUAAUAUAUUACGAUAAAUUUGUGUUUAUGUUUAUAAAUCUUUAAUACAACUUUAAAUUUUGUUAUUAAAGAAAUGGUAAUAGACCAAUAAAAAAGAGACUGAAUUUAUCUUUUAUAUUUUUAUGCAUAUUUGAAUAUAUGACAAAUGGGUUGUUGUAUAAAAGAAUUUUAUGUAAAACAAAUGAAUGACAUAUCCUUCAAAAAUAUGAAGACACACUCAAAAAUUAAUUAAUUCCCAAAUAACUCUAAAUACUUAAUGUUCUCCCAAAAAAACAAUAAUUUUGUAUAGAGGGCCAUGAGAUAGAUCUUACAAAUACUUAUGAUAAAUAUAGUAUUUGAAAGUUGUUGAAUGAGUAAAUAUGUAUAAAAUCACUUUCUAAAUAACAUUAGAGUUUAAAAGAAUUGUAGAAUCAAUAAAUCCUCAACUUUUUGAAUAACAAGAGAUUUUAAAUGGAAUUACAAAAUCCGCACACUAAUAGUAGAAGACUUUACUAAGAAUAUAAGAAUCAACAAACCAAUCAUAAUGGACUCGUAAAUUCUCAACAUCUUUAAAAAUCUUUCUCAC
rnacentral:lncRNA from 1 species